GUAGCGGCGAGUGAAGCGGCAAAAGCUCAAAUUUGAAAUCUGGCGCCUUCGGUGUCCGAGUUGUAAUUUGAAGAUUGUAACCUUGGGGUUGGCUCUUGUCUAUGUUUCUUGGAACAGGACGUCACAGAGGGUGAGAAUCCCGUGCGAUGAGAUGCCCAAUUCUAUGUAAGGUGCUUUCGAAGAGUCGAGUUGUUUGGGAAUGCAGCUCUAAGUGGGUGGUAAAUUCCAUCUAAAGCUAAAUAUUGGCGAGAGACCGAUAGCGAACAAGUACAGUGAUGGAAAGAUGAAAAGAACUUUGAAAAGAGAGUGAAAAAGUACGUGAAAUUGUUGAAAGGGAAGGGUUUGAGAUCAGACUCGAUAUUUUGUGAGCCUUGCCUUCGUGGCGGGGUGACCCGCAGCUUAUCGGGCCAGCAUCGGUUUGGGCGGUAGGAUAAUGGCGUAGGAAUGUGACUUUACUUCGGUGAAGUGUUAUAGCCUGCGUUGAUGCUGCCUGCCUAGACCGAGGACUGCGAUUUUAUCAAGGAUGCUGGCAUAAUGAUCCCAAACC
rnacentral:rRNA from 1 species